rnacentral:rRNA from 1 species
GAUGAACGCUGGCGGCGUGCCUAACACAUGCAAGUCGAACGGAAAGACCCUGAGUUUGUGCGGUUCUCGAUUGCCGAAGGCGGGCGUGUCACGUGUGUAUCCUGCUCUUCUCUUUCGGGGAACAUCACGAAACGGGGGCUAAGAUAGUACAGGAUAUCCUGUACCGUGGUGGGCAUUGGAAAGUCUCGGCUGUCGCGGAUGGAUUAGCGGCUUACGAGCUAGCUGGUGGGGUAGUGGAUGACCAAGCCUUUGACGGGUAGCCGGCCUGAGAGGGUGGACGGCCACAUGGGGCCUGAGAGACGGCCCAGACUGGUACGGGAGGCAGAAGGGGGGAACAUUGCACAAUGGGCGGACGCGUGAUGCAGCAACGCCGCGUGCGUGAAGACGGCUUUCGGGUGGUAAACAGCUUUCGCCGGUAACGAAGCGUGAGUGACGGUAAUGGGUAAGGAAGCACCGGCUAACUACGUG